AGUGAACGCUGGCGGUAGGCCUAACACAUGCAAGUCGAACGGCAGCACAGUAAGAGCUUGCUCUUACGGGUGGCGAGUGGCGGACGGGUGAGGAAUACAUCGGAAUCUACUUUUUCGUGGGGGAUAACGUAGGGAAACUUACGCUAAUACCGCAUACGACCUACGGGUGAAAGCAGGGGAUCUUCGGACCUUGCGCGAUUGAAUGAGCCGAUGUCGGAUUAGCUAGUUGGCGGGGUAAAGGCCCACCAAGGCGACGAUCCGUAGCUGGUCUGAGAGGAUGAUCGGCCACACUGGAAGUUAGACACGGUCCAGACUCCUACGGGAGGCAGCAGUGGGGAAUAUUGGACAAUGGGCGCAAGCCUGAUCCAGCCAGACCGCGUGGGUGAAGAAGGCCUUCGGGUUGUAAAGCCCUUUUGUUGGGAAAGAAAAGCAGCAGGUUAAUACCCCGCUGUUCUGACGGUACCCAAAGAAUAAGCACCGGCUAACUUCGUG
rnacentral:rRNA from 1 species